rnacentral:rRNA from 1 species
GCGCACCAGUCGCGAAACCUUCGCAAUGCACGAAAGUGCGACGAGGCUACUCCGAGUGCCAUCCGCUGAGGAUGGCUUUUGCCAGGUCUAAACCGCCUGGAGAAUAAGGGGAGGGCAAGUCUGGUGUCAGCCGCCGCGGUAAUACCAGCUCCUCGAGUGGUCGGGACGAUUAUUGGGCCUAAAGCAUCCGUAGCCGGUUCUGUAGGUCUCCUGUCAAGUUCAACGGCUCAACCGUUGAGCUGCAGGAGAUACCGCAGGGCUAGGAGGCGGGAGAGGUGGACGGUACUCUAUGGGUAGGGGUAAAAUCUUCUGAUCCAUGGAAGACCACCAGUGGCGAAGGCGUUCUGCGAGAACGGGCUCGACGGUGAGGGACGAAAGCCAGGGGCGCAAACGGGAUUAGAUACCCCUGUAGUCC